rnacentral:rRNA from 1 species
GCCAGACUCCUACGGGAGGCAGCAGUGAGGAAUAUUGGUCAAUGGGCGGGAGCCUGAACCAGCCAUGCCGCGUGAAGGCGAGUGCCCUACGGGCGUUAAACUUCUUUUGUGCGGGAGCAAUAAGGGCCACGUGUGGCCCGAUGAGAGUACCGCACGAAUAAGCAUCGGCUAACUCCGUGCCAGCAGCCGCGGUAAUACGGGGGAUGCGAGCGUUAUCCGGAUUUAUUGGGUUUAAAGGGUGCGUAGGCGGCGCUUCAGGUCAGCGGUGAAAUACCGGGGCUCAACCCCGGGGCUGCCGUUGAAACCGGAGCGCUAGAAUUCCGAUGCCGUCGGAGGAAUGUGUGGUGUAGCGGUGAAAUGCAUAGAGAUCAUACAGAACACCGAUUGCGAAGGCAGCUUACCAAGCUACUUCUGACGUUGAGGCACGAAAGCGUGGGGAGCAAACAGGAUUAGAUACCCCAGUAGA